GACAGCAGUCGCCGCGGUAAUACGGAGGGUGCAAGCGUUAAUCGGAAUUACUGGGCGUAAAGCGCACGCAGGCGGUUUGUUAAGUCAGAUGUGAAAUCCCCGGGCCCAACCUGGGAACUGCAUCUGAUACUGGCAAGCUUGAGUCUCGUAGAGGGGGGUAGAAUUCCAGGUGUAGCGGUGAAAUGCGUAGAGAUCUGGAGGAAUACCGGUGGCGAAGGCGGCCCCCUGGACGAAGACUGACGCUCAGGUGCGAAAGCGUGGGGAGCAAACAGGAUUAGAGACCCGCGUAGUCCCUGUCUCUUAUAC
rnacentral:rRNA from 1 species